rnacentral:rRNA from 1 species
UACGUAGGGCGCAAGCGUUAUCCGGAAUUAUUGGGCGUAAAGAGCUCGUAGGCGGUUUGUCGCGUCUGCCGUGAAAGUCCGGGGCUCAACUCCGGAUCUGCGGUGGGUACGGGCAGACUAGAGUGAUGUAGGGGAGACUGGAAUUCCUGGUGUAGCGGUGAAAUGCGCAGAUAUCAGGAGGAACACCGAUGGCGAAGGCAGGUCUCUGGCCAUUAACUGACGCUGAGGAGCGAAAGCAUGGGGAGCGAACAGG